CUACGGGGGCUGCAGUGGGGAAUCUUGGACAAUGGGCGCAAGCCUGAUCCAGCCAUGCCGCGUGAGUGAUGAAGGCCUUAGGGUCGUAAAGCUCUUUCGCCAGGGAUGAUAAUGACAGUACCUGGUAAAGAAACCCCGGCUAACUCCGUGCCAGCAGCCGCGGUAAUACGGAGGGUGCAAGCGUUGUUCGGAAUUACUGGGCGUAAAGGGUGUGCAGGCGGCUGCAUAAGUCGGAUGUGAAAGCCCUCGGCUUAACCGAGGAAGUGCAUCCGAUACUGUGUAGCUUGAGUCCCGGAGAGGGGGAUGGAAUUCCCGGUGUAGAGGUGAAAUUCGUAGAUAUCGGGAGGAACACCAGUGGCGAAGGCGAUCCCCUGGACGAGGACUGACGCACAUACACGAAAGCGUGGGUAGCAAACAGGAUUAGAUACCCUGGUAGUC
rnacentral:rRNA from 1 species